rnacentral:misc_RNA from 1 species
CAUUGGCUUUAACGGUGAUAUAGGAGAGGUUGAAUAUCUUGUUCUUAACAGUCAUCCUCUCUCCAUUUCUCAAAGAUCCAAAUCCAUCUCCAAUGACCCCAACAAAUUCAGCUCUGCUGUGAGUGGUUACAUAGAAGCAGUUAGGGAGGUGGCAUGUGAGAUACUAGAUCUUAUGGCAGAGGGGUUGGGGGUCCCAGACACAUCAGUGUUUAGCAGGCUGAUCAGCGACGUUGAUAGCGACUCCAUCAUCAGGCUCAAUCACUACCCACCUUCUUACAGCACCAACAGGGUUGGGUUUGGAGAGCACUCUGACCCUCAGAUCCUC